rnacentral:lncRNA from 1 species
AUGGCUGCCCUGCCUCCUUUUUCUAGAUCCUUCUUUGAUGCCCAGCCUCCUGAUUGGUUGGGUGUUCUUAUCUGAUGUCAUAACAGCUCCGCGCUUUGUGACCAAUGAGCAGUUUUGUUGCGGAAUGGAGAAAGCUGCCUUAGCAACGGUUGACAAGACUACUGGCAUAAGUGCCCGAGUUGUCCAGGUCUCCGGCAUUCAGAGUGACCGGCACCAUGGGUGCUACUCCCAUAUAUAGCCUGCUCUUUCUGUUGUUCCUUGUGACAACUGAAUCUUUCCCCAAAAUAGGUCCUGAUUCUCCUAGUGUGAACAAAACCAAAAUUAACAUUGCUAGUAAAAAUGUUGUUGUUGCGGUUUUGAUUGUUCUGAUUUUGGCCACUUUCAUCUUGACUUCCUGUUUUUGCUUCUUCCACUGGAGAUUCCGAAGAACUCGUUUCAACAAGGAAAAGAGCCAAGAAGAAUACAUUUCUAUAAUUGUCCAUCCAGCAAUGCCAAGCUCCAAUAAAAAAAUGGUUCGCUCACUGGUUCAUACGCCAGAAUACCACCAAUACUGCCAUUAUUCAUCUGAUUCACAAUGAGCUUAUCACACCAAUAAUUCCAAUUAUCUUUACUUCUCUCAUGUCCACUCCAGGUGAAGUAAAAAGCGACUCCGAGAGUACCAUCUAUUCUUCGGACAAGGACCAUCUCAACUUAAAACGAGUCUUCUUGUUCUAACUAAGAAUUGUAAGCUCUGUCAUUAUAAAAUGGCAUAAUAUAAUAAAAACCUGUUAAAAUAAUUGUCUGUUAUAUUG